rnacentral:rRNA from 1 species
GCCCUUCCUACGGGAGGCAGCAGUGGGGAAUAUUGCACAAUGGGCGAAAGCCUGAUGCAGCGACGCCGCGUGGGGGAUGACGGCCUUCGGGUUGUAAACCUCUUUCAGCAGGGAAGAAGCGAGAGUGACGGUACCUGCAGAAGAAGCGCCGGCUAACUACGUGCCAGCAGCCGCGGUAAUACGUAGGGCGCAAGCGUUGUCCGGAAUUAUUGGGCGUAAAGAGCUUGUAGGUGGCUUGUCGCGUCGUCUGUGAAAUCCCGGGGCUUAACUUCGGGCGUGCAGGCGAUACGGGCAUAACUUGAGUGCUGUAGGGGAGACUGGAAUUCCUGGUGUAGCGGUGAAAUGCGCAGAUAUCAGGAGGAACACCGAUGGCGAAGGCAGGUCUCUAGGCAGUUACUGACGCUGAGGAGCGAAAGCAUGGGUAGCGAACAGGAUUAGAUACCCUGGUAGUCCAUGCCGUAAACGGUGGGCGCUAGGUGUAGGGGGCUUCCACGUCUUCUGUGCCGUAGCUAACGCAUUAAGCGCCCCGCCUGGGGAGUACGGCCGCAAGGUUGAAACUCAAAGGAAUUGACGGAAGGGC